rnacentral:rRNA from 1 species
GUNGUCCGCACGAGCGCACCCCUAUCCUUAUUUGCCAGCACGUAAUGGUGGGAACUCUAGGGAGACUGCCGGUGAUAAACCGGAGGAAGGUGGGGACGACGUCAAGUCAUCAUGGCCCUUACGAGUAGGGCUACACACGUGCUACAAUGGCGUAUACAGAGGGUUGCAAAGCCGCGAGGUGGAGCUAAUCUCACAAAGUACGUCGUAGUCCGGAUCGGAGUCUGCAACUCGACUCCGUGAAGUCGGAAUCGCUAGUAAUCGUGGAUCAGAAUGCCACGGUGAAUACGUUCCCGGGCCUUGUACACACCGCCCGUCACACCAUGGGAGUGGGCUGCAAAAGAAGUGGGUAGUUUAACCUUCGGGAGAACGCUCACCACUUUGUGGCUCAUGACUGGGGUGAAGUCGUAACAAGGUAGCCCUAGGGGAACCUGGGGCUGGAUCACCUCCUU